rnacentral:rRNA from 1 species
UACGGAGGGGGCUAGCGUUGUUCGGAAUUACUGGGCGUAAAGCGCACGUAGGCGGCUUUGUAAGUUAGAGGUGAAAGCCCGGGGCUCAACUCCGGAAUUGCCUUCAAGACUGCAUCGCUAGAAUUGUGGAGAGGUAAGUGGAAUUCCGAGUGUAGAGGUGAAAUUCGUAGAUAUUCGGAAGAACACCAGUGGCGAAGGCGACUCACUGGACACGUAUUGACGCUGAGGUGCGAAAGCGUGGGGAGCAAACAGG